rnacentral:rRNA from 1 species
UUGAACGCUGGCGGCAGGCCUAACACAUGCAAGUCGAACGGUAACAGGAAGAAGCUUGCUUCUUUGCUGACGAGUGGCGGACGGGUGAGUAAUGUCUGGGAAACUGCCUGAUGGAGGGGGAUAACUACUGGAAACGGUAGCUAAUACCGCAUAACGUCGCAAGACCAAAGAGGGGGACCUUCGGGCCUCUUGCCAUCGGAUGUGCCCAGAUGGGAUUAGCUAGUAGGUGGGGUAACGGCUCACCUAGGCGACGAUCCCUAGCUGGUCUGAGAGGAUGACCAGCCACACUGGAACUGAGACACGGUCCAGACUCCUACGGGAGGCAGCAGUGGGGAAUAUUGCACAAUGGGCGCAAGCCUGAUGCAGCCAUGCCGCGUGUAUGAAGAAGGCCUUCGGGUUGUAAAGUACUUUCAGCGGGGAGGAAGGGAGUAAAGUUAAUACCUUUGCUCAUUGACGUUACCCGCAGAAGAAGCACCGGCUAACUCCGUGCCAGCAGCCGCGGUAAUACGGAGGGUGCAAGCGUUAAUCGGAAUUACUGGGCGUAAAGCGCACGCAGGCGGUUUGUUAAGUCAGAUGUGAAAUCCCCGGGCUCAACCUGGGAACUGCAUCUGAUACUGGCAAGCUUGAGUCUCGUAGAGGGGGGUAGAAUUCCAGGUGUAGCGGUGAAAUGCGUAGAUAUUAGGAGGAACACCAGUGGCGAAGGCGGAUUGCUGGACGACAACUGACGGUGAGGCGCGAAAGCGUGGGGAGCAAACAGGAUUAGAUACCCUGGUAGUCCACGCUGUAAACGAUGAAUACUAGGUGUGCGGGGACUGACCCCCUGCGUGCCGCAGCUAACGCAAUAAGUAUUCCACCUGGGGAGUACGAUCGCAAGGUUGAAACUCAAAGGAAUUGACGGGGGCCCGCACAAGCGGUGGAGCAUGUGGUUUAAUUCGAUGCAACGCGAAGAACCUUACCUGGUCUUGACAUCCACGGAAGUUUUCAGAGAUGAGAAUGUGCCUUCGGGAACCGUGAGACAGGUGCUGCAUGGCUGUCGUCAGCUCGUGUUGUGAAAUGUUGGGUUAAGUCCCGCAACGAGCGCAACCCUUAUCCUUUGUUGCCAGCGGUCCGGCCGGGAACUCAAAGGAGACUGCCAGUGAUAAACUGGAGGAAGGUGAGGAUGACGUCAAGUCAUCAUGGCCCUUACGACCAGGGCUACACACGUGCUACAAUGGCGCAUACAAAGAGAAGCGACCUCGCGAGAGCAAGCGGACCUCAUAAAGUGCGUCGUAGUCCGGAUUGGAGUCUGCAACUCGACUCCAUGAAGUCGGAAUCGCUAGUAAUCGUGGAUCAGAAUGCCACGGUGAAUACGUUCCCGGGCCUUGUACACACCGCCCGUCACACCAUGGGAGUGGGUUGCAAAAGAAGUAGGUAGCUUAACCUUCGGGAGGGCGCUUACCACUUUGUGAUUCAUGACUGGGGUG